GAAGGAAGGGAUGACUAGUGACAAGUGAGAGAGGGGGUGACUAGUGACAGAGUGAGGAAGGGGGUGACACAGUGAAGGAGGUGGUGACUGUCACUAGUCACCCCAUCCCUCCCUCUGUCACUAAUCACCACCUCCGUCACUCUGUCACUAGUCACCUCCUCCCCUCCCUCUCUCUGUCACUAGUCACCCCCUCCCUCUCUCUGUCACUAGUCACACCCUCCCUCACUCUGUCACUAGUCACCCCCUUCCUCACUCUCUCUGUCACUAGUCACACCCUUGCUCACUCUGUCACUAGAGUGAG